AGUGGGUGUGGGAAAGCUGGCAUUGCCCCCGUGGGGAUUUUCUUGCCUUUUCCAGACAUGACAUCCAGCGCAGACAUCCCGGUCGACAGCGCGGAGAUCGAUGAUAUCCUGACGUGGAUCAGCAACGGUGAGUUCAGGGGCUGCAGAGCAGGCGGGGAUGUCUGCUCCGAGUGGCUGUGGGAAAGCUGGCAUUGCCCCCUUGGGGAUUUCCAUCCUUUUCCCAGAUGGGACACCCAGCGCAGGCAUUCCAGAUGACAGCCUGGAACUCGACGGUUUGCUCAGCUGGAUUGUUGAAGCGUCGAGUCCUCGGGAGGUCCCCCAGCAGGCGUUCCCAGCCGUCCCCAGCAGGCUCAGCACCUCUCCUUUCACCAGAGCCCUCCGUGACCGUCCCAGCAGCAGCAGGGAGCUCAGUGGAGAGGCGCAGGCUGACGCCAGGCCCCUCAGCGAGCCGUUCUCGGGGCAGCCAGCAUCCUCUGGGCAGCUCUCUGAGCCGCUGCCCUGCGGGCAUCUGAUGGAAGAGGCGCGGCAGAGGCAGCCCCGGGUGGUUCUCACCCGCCUGGCACUGCCGACCCCCCUGGCUGCCCCCGCACCUCUGUUGCCCCGCACUGCACAUCUGACCAAAGAUGUGCAGCGGAGGCAGCCCCGGGUGCUUCUCACCCGCCUGGCACUGCCACCCGGCUGCAUCUCCUGCCACGUGCCCGAGAA
rnacentral:lncRNA from 1 species